UUGGCCUACGGGGGGCAGCAGUGGGGAAUUUUGGACAAUGGGCGAAAGCCUGAUCCAGCAAUGCCGCGUGCAGGAUGAAGGCCUUCGGGUUGUAAACUGCUUUUGUACGGAACGAAAAAGCUUCUCCUAAUACGAGAGGCCCAUGACGGUACCGUAAGAAUAAGCACCGGCUAACUACGUGCCAGCAGCCGCGGUAAUACGUAGGGUGCGAGCGUUAAUCGGAAUUACUGGGCGUAAAGCGUGCGCAGGCGGUUAUGUAAGACAGAUGUGAAAUCCCCGGGCUCAACCUGGGAACUGCAUUUGUGACUGCAUGGCUAGAGUACGGUAGAGGGGGAUGGAAUUCCGCGUGUAGCAGUGAAAUGCGUAGAUAUGCGGAGGAACACCGAUGGCGAAGGCAAUCCCCUGGACCUGUACUGACGCUCAUGCACGAAAGCGUGGGGAGCAAACAGGAUUAGAUACCCUGGUAGUCCACGCCCUAAACGAUGUCAACUGGUUGUUGGGAAUUAGUUUUCUCAGUAACGAAGCUAACGCGUGAAGUUGACCGCCUGGGGAGUACGGCCGCAAGGUUGAAACUCAAAUG
rnacentral:rRNA from 1 species